UACGGGGGGGGCAAGCGUUGUUCGGAAUUACUGGGCGUAAAGGGCUCGUAGGUGGCCAACUAAGUCAGACGUGAAAUCCCUCAGCUUAACUGGGGAACUGCGUCUGAUACUGGAUGGCUUGAGUUUGGGAGAGGGUCGCGGAAUUCCCGGUGUAGAGGUGAAAUUCGUAGAUAUCGGGAGGAACACCGGUGGCGAAGGCGGCGACCUGGGUAGAUACUGACGCUGAGGCGCGAAAGCGUGGGGAGCAAACAGG
rnacentral:rRNA from 1 species